rnacentral:rRNA from 1 species
GGGGAAUAUUGCGCAAUGGGGGGAACCCUGACGCAGCCAUGCCGCGUGAAUGAAGAAGGCCUUCAGGUUGUAAAGUUCUUUCGGUAUUGAGGAAGGUUGAUGUGUUAAUAGCACAUCAAAUUGACGUUAAAUACAGAAGAAGCACCGGCUAACUCCGUGCCAGCAGCCGCGGUAAUACGGAGGGUGCGAGCGUUAAUCGGAAUAACUGGGCGUAAAGGGCACGCAGGCGGUUAUUUAAGUGAGGUGUGAAAGCCCUGGGCUUAACCUAGGAAUUGCAUUUCAGACUGGGUAACUAGAGUACUUUAGGGAGGGGUAGAAUUCCACGUGUAGCGGUGAAAUGCGUAGAGAUGUGGAGGAAUACCGAAGGCGAAGGCAGCCCCUUGGGAAUGUACUGACGCUCAUGUGCGAAAGCGUGGGGAGCAAACAGGAUUAGAUACCCUGGUAGUCCACGCUGUAAACGCUGUCGAUUUGGGGGUUGGGGUUUAACUCUGGCGCCCGUAGCUAACGUGAUAAAUCGACCGCCUGGGGAGUACAGCCGCAAGGUUA